rnacentral:rRNA from 1 species
UNCGGNGGNUUGUUUAAAAAGGUUANNCUUUUCAGGCCAGNNGAGGGAAGGUGGGGUAUGUUUAAUAGCAANNUCCCAUUUGACGUUUAGCUGCAGAAGAAGCACCGGCUAACUCCGUGCCAGCAGCCGCGGUAAUACGGAGGGUGCGAGCGUUAAUCGGAAUUACUGGGCGUAAAGCGCAUGCAGGUGGUUUGUUAAGUCAGAUGUGAAAGCCCGGGGCUCAACCUCGGAAUUGCAUUUGAAACUGGCAAACUAGAGUACUGUAGAGGGGGGUAGAAUUUCAGGUGUAGCGGUGAAAUGCGUAGAGAUCUGAAGGAAUACCGGUGGCGAAGGCGGCCCCCUGGACAGAUACUGACACUCAGAUGCGAAAGCGUGGGGAGCAAACAGGAUUAGAUACCCUGGUAGUCCACGCCGUAAACGAUGUCUACUUGGAGGUUGUGGCCUUGAGCCGUGGCUUUCGGAGCUAACGCGUUAAGUAGACCGCCUGGGGAGUACGGUCGCAAGAUUAAAACUCAAAUGAAUUGACGGGGGCCCGCACAAGCGGUGGAGCAUGUGGUUUAAUUCGAUGCAACGCGAAGAACCUUACCUACUCUUGACAUCUACAGAAGCCAGCGGAGACGCAGGUGUGCCUUCGGGAACUGUAAGACAGGUGCUGCAUGGCUGUCGUCAGCUCGUGUUGUGAAAUGUUGGGUUAAGUCCCGCAACGAGCGCAACCCUUAUCCUUGUUUGCCAGCACUUCGGGUGGGAACUCCAGGGAGACUGCCGGUGAUAAACCGGAGGAAGGUGGGGACGACGUCAAGUCAUCAUGGCCCUUACGAGUAGGGCUACACACGUGCUACAAUGGCGCAUACAGAGGGCGGCCAACUUGCGAAAGUGAGCGAAUCCCAAAAAGUGCGUCGUAGUCCGGAUUGGAGUCUGCAACUCGACUCCAUGAAGUCGGAAUCGCUAGUAAUCGUGGAUCAGAAUGCCACGGUGAAUACGUUCCCGGGCCUUGUACACACCGCCCGUCACACCAUGGGAGUGGGCUGCAAAAGAAGUGGGUAGUUUAACCUUCGGGAGGACGCUCACCACUUUGUGGUUCAUGACUGGGGUGAAGUCGUAACAAGGUAACCG